rnacentral:tRNA from 1 species
GUGUAAAUAUUUGAUAUACAGUAUUAUAUAUGUGAUAAAAUACAGCUUCCCAAGCUGAGGGUCGCGGGUUCGAGUCCCGUUUUCCGCU